rnacentral:lncRNA from 1 species
CGUUGGAGACGCUGCCGAGGCCAGCGCCGGCAGAGCGGCGGCUGACGGGGAGCCCGGCGGUGGACUUGAGGCCCCGGAAAGGAGCAACAGCGGUAGCCGCCGCCGACAUCACUGUCGGACCCAUAGCAUCCACCCUUGUAUCACUAGAGUAUAUCUACUUAGCUAAUAUGCUAAGUUUGGCACGGAGAGAGGAGGUCGAGUGGACUUCAUUCCUGGUCACAAGGGUUUAUAUAUACCAUAUAACAUACGAGCAAUUUGUGAUUAAUUUGUUGUCGUUCUAGGAGAUGUGGAAAGGGUGGAUGCCGUUCGUUGGUUGCCUUAUCCGUUCUAGAGAAGGGAUGGAUGACCGACGCUCGCUCAGCCGUCUCCUUCGUCCAUCGUUGCCAAUCUUUCUAGCUAUAAUUGGAAGUUCCAAAGGAACAUACGGUUUCAUGCCUACUUCCAUCGGCCUAUCAUGUACCAAUCCAAUAAAAGGACAUCGUUCAACCAUCAAUCCAUGUGUGUGUAGUAAGUGAUUGGCUACGAACCUUCAGCUGACUUGCUUUAUUGGAUAUUUCUGUAAAGCGAGUCCACGGUGUGUGGGUUUAAAAUCUCGUGGCGGCAACUGUUGACGGGUGCAAAUAUCAGUAGCCUUAAAACAAUAAACUUUACUCCGUCCCUUCCGAAAUGCAAGAAUGUCCUAAGUCAAACUUCUUAUGCUGCAGGACCAUAGUUUUUGAGGUGUUCUUCUCACGAGUCCACGAAGAACGGGAAUUUUUUGGUGUCGGGUAAGGGCGGGGGAAUAUAUAGAUGCUAGCAUCAGCAUGACGGGCUAACGGGUCAGGUAGGAUUUUGGACGACGUAGCACCUGACAUGUGGGGGCCACAUGUAAGAAAACCUGUCAAAAUGUCAUAACCCUCUGUUUUGGUCAACUUGAUACAAUCUGAUACAAAACGUGUGGUUUUCCUGACAAAUUAGCAAAUUUUGUGUCUCUGUGAGAAGCACGCCCCAAAAACUGUGGUUCCGUGAAAUUUAUUCACUAGUUACACUUUAUCUACAAACAUCUACGAUUCUAAAAUAGUUUGGUAUAUAUUUUCCGUAAUAUAAUUAUUUGAUAUUCUAAAUUCGGGGAUUUGUUCUUAUAAACUUGGUCGAAGUUUAAAAAGUUUGACUUCGGACAAAGUUACGACUUUUUACAUUUAGGAAUGAAGGGAAUACAUUUUAGUAAAGCAAUUGAGGAAUUGACAGAAUUAAAUAUCUUAAAUUAUACUGGUCCAUCGUGUACUCAUGGCAACAAAAUAAAUUUAUAGUCGAAAAGUUGGACCAUGAAAACUUAAAACGUGAUACAUUAAAAUUGUUGAAUCACUCUACAUCUUGUAAUUUUCUCUUGCAACCUUCUGGCGCGCUACUCAUUCCACAUUUGGUACUAUAUGUAUAAAUGUAUAUAUAUACCGCAUUAGGAGCCUCUAUUACUGUUUUAGUAUAAAUAGCAGUUUCCAUCGACUAUGCACUUCAUUAACUUUUUCUUCACGAGAUAACUUGCUUAUCGAUUUUCUUUAAUUAUCCAGAUGGCUUCUACUAGUUUGUUUCCUUGCUUACUGGGAUUUCCGCAGACUUUACGGUUAGGUAUUAUUGUCGUGUGGACAACACGGUGGCCGGAUGUUGAGAUGAUGAUGUCCUUUAUCUCCGUGUUGCUUCUGAGGACUGCGGAUCCGAGGCUAGUGGCGGUAUGGGAUGCCUCUCUACCUCUUGAUCAGGUCAAUCCGGCUCAGCAAGAGGCGGAUCGAUGGUGGCCGGUGUGACUAGAAGCGGGGAGGUAUAUAUGAAACGUUUCUUGCUUCCAGCAUCUCUUCUAGCGGUAUAUAUGUCGUCAGCUGGUUGAGGGAUUGAUGGCAAUCGAUCAUGGCUACGAUGACAUGUAUACGCGCCGGUAGGAACACAUAUCAGGCAAUGUCGAUGCACCUGCAUUGGGCCCUUGCUGAAGGUGGUGGUGCGUAUGGCAGUCUAAAGAUUUAAGACACAAAUUUAGACUUAAAACUUAAAUAAUCAAUUUGUGCCAGCGGGAAACACACAAACACGUACCGGUAAAUUAUCAUAAUCAGAAUUUGUCGACGAAUUUGAUAUUCUUUUACAAAAUAUACUUAUCUUAAUAUGUAUAACCGGAGUUUAUAUUACAUGCCCCUCUCCCAACGAUAGUUGUAGUACUCUUAUAAUAGUAGUACUCAUGAAUACAGUUAAUCCGGGUUGUUGGGAGAGAUCACAUGCAUAAAUACAACAUGAAACAAACGUGUGAAAAAGGUACAUAAAAUCGGUGUGACCCGUUCUUGUAUUAUAAGAAAUCAACUUGCUUAGGCCUUGCCGGACUCCUCACAACCCGGUGGCUUGAAGGCGAUGAAGCUGAUGCACUGCACUUGCCUGGUGUUGUCGAAGCCGAUGAUGCGGACAUAGGCGUCAGGGUACUCCUUCUUCACCUCCUCCAGCUCCUUUAGCACCUGCGUGGCGUCGGUGCACCCGAACAUGGGAAGCUUCCACAUUGUCCAGUACCUGCCGUCGUAGUACCCGGGAGAGUUGCCGUGCUCACGGAAGACGAAACCGACCUUGCUGAACUCGAGGCAAGGAACCCACUUGGAGCGGAUGAGAUACUCGAUCUGCUUCAAGAGGGACUCCACGGUGAGAGGCGGCAGGUAGGAAAGGGUUUCGAACUUCUUGAUGCCCUCAAUUGGCCACACCUACAAUUAGAUUAAUAAUUAGCACCGAAAGUAUAAUUUGAGACACAUAUCAGUAUUUCACUUCAACAUAUGUACAUGAUGACAUACAUACCUGCAUGCACCUGAUCCUUCCACCGUUGGAGACGCUGCCGAGACCAGCGCUGGCUGAGCGGCGGCCGAUGGGGAGCCCGGCGGUGGACUUGAGGCCCUGGAAAGGAGCAACGGCAGUAGCCGCUGACGACAUCACUGUGGGAGCCAUCGUACACGUACGUAGAUAGCUAACAAGAGGAG